GAUGAACGCUAGCUACAGGCUUAACACAUGCAAGUCGAGGGGAAACGAUAUUGGAAGCUUGCUUCCGAUAGGCGUCGACCGGCGCACGGGUGAGUAACGCGUAUCCAACCUGCCCAUCACUUGGGGAUAACCCUGCGAAAGUAAGACUAAUACCCAAUGACGUCUCUAGAAGACAUCUGAAAGAGAUUAAAGAUUUAUCGGUGAUGGAUGGGGAUGCGUCUGAUUAGCUUGUUGGCGGGGUAACGGCCCACCAAGGCGACGAUCAGUAGGGGUUCUGAGAGGAAGGUCCCCCACAUUGGUACUGAGACACGGUCCAAACUCCUACGGGAGGCAGCAGUGAGGAAUAUUGGUCAAUGGGCGAGAGCCUGAACCAGCCAAGUAGCGUGCAGGAUGACGGCCCUAUGGGUUGUAAACUGCUUUUAUAAGGGAAUAAAGUGGGAGUCGUGACUCCUUUUGCAUGUACCUUAUGAAUAAGGACCGGCUAAUUCCGUGCCAGCAGCCGCGGUAA
rnacentral:rRNA from 1 species